rnacentral:lncRNA from 1 species
AAGGAAAGAAAAAGAAGGGAAGGGGAGGGGAGGGGAGGGGGAAGAAAGAAAAGAGAAGAGAAGAAAGGAAAAGAAAAGAAAAGAAAAGAAAAGAAAAAGUGAGUGUCCACAGGAAAUGGUUCUGAAGGGGCCAGGCAUGGGCGGGCAUCACCUCCGCUGGGUGAUUGAAGGGCAACAGUGUGCAGCUGACAAAAGAAAAACUUGGCUGGUGCCUAUAAUCCCAACGCUUUGGGAGGCCAAGGCAGGCGGAUCAUCUGAGGCCAGGAGUUUGAGACCAGCCUGGCCAACAUGGUGAAAUCCCAUCUCUACUUAAAAAAAAAAAAAGAAAAAAAAAUUUAGCUGGGCGAGGUGGUGCGUGCCUGUAAUCCCAGCUG